AACGACGCUAACGCUUCCAGCUAAACCCUAAACCCUAAAUCUUAAAUUUUAAACCCUAUAUCCUAAAUUCUAAACCCAAAUCCAAACCCCUAAACUCAAACCCUAUACCCUAAACUCUAAUCCUAGACCCUAAACCCAAAUUAUAUACCCUAAACCCAAAAACAAGACUAUAAACCUGAACUCUAUACUCUAAACCCAAGUCCUAAACCUUAAACCCAAACCGUAAACCUUAAACCCAAAUUAUAUACCCUAAACCCAAAACCUUAACCAUAAAUCCAAAAAUUUAAAUCCUAAACCCAAACCGUAAAUCCUAACCCAAAACCUAUACCCUAAACCCGAAUCCUAAACCCGAAUCCUAGACCCCAAACCCAAACGGUAAGCCCUAAGCCCAAACCCCAAACUUAGAUGCUAUAGGGUUUGGGUUAAGGUUUAC
rnacentral:lncRNA from 1 species